UACGGAGGGGGCAAGCGUUACUCGGAAUUAUUGGGCGUAAAGGGCGCGUAGGCGGCCUUCUAAGUCGGACGUGAAAUCCCUCGGCUUAACCGAGGAACUGCGUCCGAGACUGAAAGGCUUGAAUCCGGGAGAGGGAUGCGGAAUUCCAGGUGUAGCGGUGAAAUGCGUAGAUAUCUGGAGGAACACCGGUGGCGAAGGCGGCAUCCUGGACCGAGAUUGACGCUGAUGCGCGAAAGCCAGGGGAGCAAACGGG
rnacentral:rRNA from 1 species